CCUACGGGAGGCUGCAGUGGGGAAUAUUGCACAAUGGGGGAAACCCUGAUGCAGCGACGCCGCGUGAGCGAAGAAGUAUUUCGGAUUGUAAAGCCCUUUCAGCAGGGAAGAAAAUGACGGUAUCUGAGGAAUAAGCACCGGCUAACUACGUGCCAGCAGCCGCGGUAAUACGUAGGGUGCAAGCGUUAUCCGGAUUUACUGGGCGUAAAGGGCGCGUAGGCGGGAUAGCAAGUCUGAUGUGAAAUCCUAGGGCUUAACCACAGGACUGCAUUUGAAACUGUCAGUCUUGAGUACAGUAGAGGUAGGUGGAAUUCGUGGUGUAGCGGUGAAAUGCUUAGAGAUCACGAGGAACACCGAUUGCGAAGGCGGCUUACUAGACUGUAACUGACGUUGAUGCUCGAAAGCGUGGGUAGCAAACAGGAUUAGAUACCCCUGUAGUC
rnacentral:rRNA from 1 species